GUCUACGGCCAUGGUACUCUGAACAAGCCUGAUCCCGUCUGAUCUCAGAAGCUAAGCAGAGUUGGGCCUGGUUAGUACUUGGAUGGGAGACCACCUAGGAAGACCAGGCACGGUAGGUG
rnacentral:rRNA from 1 species